UCGAAUAAUGUCACUCUAAUUGGAAAAACUCACUAUCCCUGGGGAAAAAGAAGGUGUGACAGCACAUGCGUCAUGCUCUUCAAUUUUCUAAGCUAUGGACGAUGCUCCAUACUCAUGAGACUCGUACACCAGCCUCUCCUGAUCUAGUAUCAGCUCUUACAACUUUGGUUUCUACUACGGUUGAUCCUCUUUCCUCUGCUUCAUCUGGACAUUAGGGAGGUGGUGGUGGUGGUCGAGGUCGUGGUCGAGAAGGUGGUCGUGGUCGCGAUUUUGGCCGUGGCACUAUUUCGCAAUUUUAUUAUAGCCAGCCACUUUUUGGGGUUCCUAGUGGUGGUCCUUUCCCGUUUUCUACCUCUGCUCGUGGCAAAUAUGGCAGCACUCUCAUUGCAGUCUCCACCAGACAAGAAUCAGUACUUGUAUUCUGGAGCAACUACACACAUGAUUUAUGAUUCGGGAUUUGGCGAUCGGGAAAGUUCUGCAUUACUCCCGCACUGAUGGGCUUCUUUAUCCUUUUUAGUCUUCCUCUACCUUAUCAUCAUUUGCUCAGCCAUCUACCUUUGUUGUCCUACAUGACUCGGUGCCUAUUUGGCAUGCACGCUUGGGGCAUCCAAGUCAUGUUAUCUUAGAUUUACUUAGAUCUAGAAAGUUUAUUUCAUUUUCUAUGACUUUUUCUAAUUCUUUUAUAGGUAACUCUUGCUUAGUUCUAAAUAUUUGGUUUUGUCAUUUUUUUUAAGUAGUUCAAGUAUUUCUUAUGUUUUUGUAUUAAUUCAUUCUAAUGUUUGGCAUUCUUCCGUGC